GACGAACGCUGGCGGCGUGCUUAACACAUGCAAGUCGAACGGAAAGGCCCUGCUUUCGUGGGGUUCUCGAGUGGCGAACGGGUGAGUAACACGUGAGUAACCUGCCCUUGACUUUGGGAUAACUUCAGGAAACUGGGGCUAAUACCGGAUAGGAGCUCCUGCUGCAUGGUGGGGGUUGGAAAGUUUCGUCGGUUGGGGAUGGACUGGCGGCUUAUCAGCUUGUUGGUGGGGUAGUGGCUUACCAAGGCUUUGACGGGUAGCCGGCCUGAGAGGGUGACCGGCCACAUUGGGACUGACGUGCGGCCGAGGCUCCUACGGGAGGCAGCAGUGGGGAAUAUUGAACAAUGGGCGGAGGCCGGAUGCAGCAACGCCGCGUGCGGGAUGACGGCCUUCGGGUUGUAGACCGCUUUCGACUGUGACGAAGCGUGAGUGACGGUAAUGGGUAGAGAAGGACCGGCUAACUACGUG
rnacentral:rRNA from 1 species